ensembl:snRNA U6 U6 spliceosomal RNA
AUGCUUUGUCAGCACACAUAUUAAAAUCAGAACAAAACAGAGAUUAGCAUGGCCCCAGUACAACCAUAACAUAUAUAUUGUGAAGUUUUCCAUAUAGUU